rnacentral:lncRNA from 1 species
UAUGUUGCAUGCCAAGAAAAUUAUGAUAGUGGAGAUAAACUAUUUUGAUAUUAUAGGUAGAAUAAUCGACAUAUUACAAAUAGACAUCGUCGAUUGAUUAAACAAACAGUGCAUAAAAAACAGAGUGCGUGAACUUCAAAAUUCAAAAUCAAAGCUUCUAAUCAUGAAUAAAUGAAUUGACAAUGCAAGAAAUUGUGAAAUAAUUCUGAUGAUGCACCUGAAGGCAUGUACAGCUGGAUUCAGAAUUCAGUCAAUCUAAUAAGUAGCAAGUUGGUGCUGUCAGGAGAGUGAAAUUGUCUUAUACGACAGUGCGUUGGUAUUUUCGGUGGUGUCCAUGUGUUGAUGUUUGUAACAAAAACUCAUUCGACAGGACUACCUCCAACAGAGUGCCUCGCCCGGAUAUCCGAUAGAAAAAUAAAUACAACUCCAAUAUAAGAGCACAUCAUAGUCUACUGACUGAAAGGGGGCACGGGAAACAUCAAUCUGGUAAAGACGCGCUGGCUGGAAUGAAGUGGUGUUUGCUCCCCUUUUUCAUCGGGUCCCACUGAUCUGCAGAUAGAUAGAUAUGAAGAUAGAUAUGAAGAUAUGCGGGAGAUAGAUAUCUGGAAUGAAACAUACUAGGAAUAAUAGUCUCACGUCCAUUCAAUAUAGACAAAAAAAUAAUAGAAAUUUGACACACCAAAUCUCAUGCAUACAUCAAUUAGAACAGAUCCAUCACACCCCUUGGUCAAUCCAGCCCCUCCAACUCAAAUCCCCGUAUGAAUCCCACACAACACCUCGGGUUGAAUGAUUCAGAAACUGUGCCAAAGGAAGAAGCCAAAAUCUGUGAAAAAUAGAAGGGGGGAGAGGUUGCCUUUACCUUGGGCCAGCAAUGGAAGGCGGGGGAGGGGGGAAAACGCGGCGGAGCAGGACGGCAGACCCACUGAUGUGCAGAUAGAUAGAUAUGAGGAUAUGCAGAGCAGUAAAGCAAUCAAAUAAGACAGGGGGCAAGUUGCCGGCUCAGACUGUUAUAAUCAAGUUCCCAGCAGCUGUAGGUGGAAUGUUCAUCUGCACCAAGAGCAACCAAUAUGCAGAUGAACAAGCAAGGAAUUACGCUCAAACUGAACCCGGCGUUACAUUUGCUUUUCCGAACAAACAACAAUUUGUUAAACAGUAGGUAGUCCAUCAUCCAUUUAAACAAGACAGUGCAUAACAACAAAUUAGUCGCCAUCGUCGAUGGUACAUAUAGGCACACGAUCAGGUAGAAAGAAAGCUACUCGUAAUUAAUCAGACAGCGGGCGGAACCGAUCCGGCCGGAGCGAUGUGCACCAACAUCUGCCGGAGGAAUUCCUUGGACGGCCAAAACGGCUUGCCAUCUUCUCCCAAUGCUUCGAAGUCCUCCAACGAGGAGGGAGGCGGCGCGGGCAUCAUCGCCGCCGUCACAGGCGCCGGCAGAGGUAGAUACAUCUCCAGCAGCACGCUCUCGCCAUACUCCUCGGGCUGAGCAGGCAUGGCAGCACCCCUCAUCCUCCGCGUGCCCUCGCGCGCGUUCAUGGCUUCCAUCUCCUCUGCUCGCCUGGCUUGAUUCUUCUUCUCUCCUGUGGCUUCCCCCUUCUAGAUCUGGAUCGAUCGAUAGGGGAACCUAGGGCGACCUUGUAUAUAAGGCCGGCGUUGGAAUCCGACUCGUCCCACAAUUGGCAUCCUGGACCCUGGCCCAGUCUUCCCGACAAAAUCCUGC